GGUGAUCUAGCCAUGGGCAGGUUGAAGGUUGGGUAACACUAACUGGAGGACCGAACCGACUAAUGUUGAAAAAUUAGCGGAUGACUUGUGGCUGGGGGUGAAAGGCCAAUCAAACCGGGAGAUAGCUGGUUCUCCCCGAAAGCUAUUUAGGUAGCGCCUCGUGAACUCAUCUUCGGGGGUAGAGCACUGUUUCGGCUAGGGGGCCAUCCCGGCUUACCAACCCGAUGCAAACUACGAAUACCGAAGAAUGUUAUCACGGGAGACACACGGCGGGUGCUAACGUCCGUCGUGAAGAGGGAAACAACCCAGACCGCCAGCUAAGGUCCCAAAGUCAUGGUUAAGUGGGAAACGAUGUGGGAAGGCACAGACAGCCAGGAUGUUGGCUUAGAAGCAGCCAUCAUUUAAAGAAAGCGUAAUAGCUCACUGGUCGAGUCGGCCUGCGCGGAAGAUGUAACGGGGCUAAACCAUGCAC
rnacentral:rRNA from 1 species